GGUUGGUUCUGUUGUUGUGAAGGAAGGUUAGUUCUGUUGUUGUGAAGGAAGGUUAGUUCUGUUGUUGUGAAGGAAGGAAGGUUAGUUCUGUUGUUGUGAAGGAAGGUUGGUUCUGUUGUUGUGAAGGAAGGUUGGUUCUGUUGUUGUGAAGGAAGGUUAGUUCUGUUGUUGUGAAGGAAGGUUAGUUCUGUUGUUGUGAAGGAAGGUUAGUUCUGUUGUUGUGAAGGAAGGUUAGUUCUGCUGUUGUGAAGGAAGGUUAGUUCUGUUGUUGUGAAGGAAGGUUAGUUCUGUUGUUGUGAAGGAAGGAAGGUUAGUUCUGUUGUUGUGAAGGAAGGAAGGAAGGUUAGUUCUGUUGUUGUGAAGGAAGGAAGGAAGGUUAGUUCUGUUGUUGUGAAGGAAGGAAGGAAGGUUAGUUCUGUUGUUGUGAAGGAAGGAAGGAAGGUUAGUUCUGUUGUUGUGAAGGAAGGUUGGUUCUGUUGUUGUGAAGGAAGGUUAGUUCUGUUGUUGUGAAGGAAGGUUAGUUCUGUUGUUGUGAAGGAAGGUUGGUUCUGUUGUUGUGAAGGAAGGUUAGUUCUGUUGUUGUGAAGGAAGGAAGGUUGGUUCUGUUGUUGUGAAGGAAGGUUAGUUCUGUUGUUGUGAAGGAAGGUUAGUUCUGUUGUUGUGAAGGAAGGUUAGUUCUGUUGUUGUGAAGGAAGGUUAGUUCUGUUGUUGUGAAGGAAGGGAGGUUAGUUCUGUUGUUGUGAAGGAAGGUUGGUUCUGUUGUUGUGAAGGAAGGUUAGUUCUGUUGUUGUGAAGGAAGGUUGGUUCUGUUGUUGUGAAGGAAGGUUAGUUCUGUUGUUGUGAAGGAAGGAAGGUUGGUUCUGUUGUUGUGAAGGAAGGUUAGUUCUGUUGUUGUGAAGGAAGGUUAGUUCUGUUGUUGUGAAGGAAGGUUAGUUCUGUUGUUGUGAAGGAAGGUUAGUUCUGCUGUUGUGAAGGAAAGUUAGUUCUGUUGUUGUGAAGGAAGGUUAGUUCUGUUGUUGUGAAGGAAGGUUGGUUCUGUUGUUGUGAAGGAAGGUUAGUUCUGUUGUUGUGAAGGAAGGGAGGUUAGUUCUGUUGUUGUGAAGGAAGGGAGGUUAGUUCUGUUGUUGUGAAGGAAGGUUGGUUCUGUUGUUGUGAAGGAAGGUUAGUUCUGUUGUUGUGAAGGAAGGUUGGUUCUGUUGUUGUGAAGGAAGGUUAGUUCUGUUGUUGUGAAGGAAGGUUAGUUCUGCUGUUGUGAAGGAAGGUUAGUUCUGUUGUUGUGAAGGAAGGUUAGUUCUGUUGUUGUGAACGAAGGUUAGUUCUGUUGUUGUGAAGGAAGGUUAGUUCUGUUGUUGUGAAGGAAGGUUGGUUCUGUUGUUGUGAAGGAAGGUUGGUUCUGUUGUUGUGAAGGAAGGUUAGUUCUGUUGUUGUGAAGGAAGGUUAGUUCUGUUGUUGUGAAGGAAGGUUAGUUCUGUUGUUGUGAAGGAAGGUUAGUUCUGUUGUUGUGAAGGAAGGGAGGUUAGUUCUGUUGUUGUGAAGGAAGGUUAGUUCUGUUGUUGUGAAGGAACGAAGGUUAGUUCUGUUGUUGUGAAGGAAGGUUGGUUCUGUUGUUGUGAAGGAAUGAAGGUUGGUUCUGUUGUUGUGAAGGAAUGAAGGUUAGUUCUGUUGUUGUGAAGGAAGGAAGGUUGGUUCUGUUGUUGUGAAGGAAGGUUAGUUCUGUUGUUGUGAAGGAAGGUUAGUUCUGUUGUUGUGAAGGAAGGUUAGUUCUUUUGUUGUGAAGGAAGGUUAGUUCUGUUGUUGUGAAGGAAGGUUAGUUCUGUUGUUGUGAAGGAAGGUUGGUUCUGUUGUUGUGAAGGAAGGUUGGUUCUGUUGUUGUGAAGGAAGGUUAGUUCUGUUGUUGUGAAGGAAGGUUAGUUCUGUUGUUGUGAAGGAAGGAAGGUUAGUUCUGUUGUUGUGAAGGAAGGUUAGUUCUGUUGUUGUGAAGGAAUGAAGGUUAGUUCUGUUGUUGUGAAGGAAGGUUAGUUCUGUUGUUGUGAAGGAAGGUUAGUUCUGUUGUUGUGAAGGAAGGUUAGUUCUGUUGUUGUGAAGGAAGGUUAGUUAUGUUGUUGUGAAGGAAGGUUAGUUCUGUUGUUGUGAAGGAAGGAAGGUUGGUUCUGUUGUUGUGAAGGAAGGUUAGUUCUGUUGUUGUGAAGGAAGGAAGGUUGGUUCUGUUGUUGUGAGGGAAGGAAGGUUAGUUCUGUUGUUGUGAAGGAAGGAAG
rnacentral:lncRNA from 1 species